rnacentral:rRNA from 1 species
GACGAACGCUGGCGGCGUGCCUAACACAUGCAAGUCGAGCGAUGAAGCCCUUCGGGGUGGAUUAGCGGCGGACGGGUGAGUAACACGUGGGUAACCUGCCUCAAAGAGGGGGAUAGCCUCCCGAAAGGGAGAUUAAUACCGCAUAACAUUAGUUUUUCGCAUGAAGAACUAAUUAAAGGAGUAAUCCGCUUUGAGAUGGACCCGCGGCGCAUUAGCUAGUUGGUGAGGUAAAGGCUCACCAAGGCGACGAUGCGUAGCCGACCUGAGAGGGUGAUCGGCCACAUUGGAACUGAGACACGGUCCAGACUCCUACGGGAGGCAGCAGUGGGGAAUAUUGCACAAUGGGCGAAAGCCUGAUGCAGCAACGCCGCGUGAGUGAUGAAGGCCUUCGGGUUGUAAAGCUCUGUCUUUUGGGACGAUAAUGACGGUACCAAAGGAGGAAGCCACGGCUAACUACGUGCCAGCAGCCGCAGUAAUAC